CAUUCAUGGAAGCAUUUGAUUUCAGGUCCUGUUUCCUGAAAAUGUGAAGCUGAUCACACAUUUGACUACUUCAUUGGACUGAGACCAGGGCACAAGGUCUUGGAGAUGGACGUGUUUGUACCGUGCUGACAAACAUCUGCGCCGGGCGAUGAGGUCGCCUUCGCUGACAGGCUCCAUGCUCCACUCAGCUAUUUUAGGACAGGUUAGGGAGCAGCGCAUGGGGGGGAGGUUAUGAUGUGAAAAAAGGUCAGAAGUUUGCCUGCUUGCUCAAACCAGUAAAAUCUGUUUUUAAUCCAAGAAAACACACCAAAACACACGUCUUGGAGAAAAAGGUAUGUUGUAUUUUUCCUGAUCACCGUUUUCCCUGGUGGCAAGUUUCUCAUUCAAAUUUAUAUCCACGGCUUUGUUUAUGGGACUUUACAGAAGGAUUUGCAUGGGUUAGUGAGGAGAGGGAAUACACAGAAACACAGAACCCAUUAAAGCACAUGAGGCUCUGGUGGUUCCCCUCCCCAGCUGCUACGAAGUUUAUUUGCAGGCUGCAGCCUGGAAAAGGGGCUGUGGCCCAUCUGCACCCCGUAUGUAGGAAUUCGUUUCCAACAUAGCCACAGGAGUGUGGGUCCAGCAGACCCUCCCCUAACCUCCUCUCAGAUCCCCCUCCACACUGACUUAAUUGGAGCCAGAGCAGACGCCACCGAGCACUGCGGUGUCAUGGGGCAGGGGCGUCGGGGGCUCGCCUGCACCACUGAUCCUCCCAGGUCCCCCGCCGUUCCCUCCAUCCCCGGCACAACCGUGGGGUUAAACAGCAUUGCAAGCCUUGUGUGGGCCCCCCCGCAUGGGGUGAGCUUCACCCCUAGAGCAAGGCAAGCGUCAUGCUGGAUGGUGGGGCACGAGCGGGAGAUCAAAGAGGGCAGCGCUGUGUUGCUGCACCGCAUCUCUGGGGCUGAGCCUCUGCCCUCUGCAGCUGCGAAGCACAGGCUCCCUGCGCGAUGGCGCGGGCAUUGGGGGGAUGUUGUGAGUAAGCAUCCUGGAAGGAAAAAAAUCAAAGGGUAAUAUUGAGACUGAGGCACGGAAAGGAGAUGGUAUUGCUUAUAUUAGAUCUUGUUCCUGCAGCGUCUUUUGCACAGGAGGAAAAAGUUUCUUUUUGUAUAUUGUGCCUGCCUGGAAGGUGUUGGGAAGGGCUGUCUUAGAGUGGGGAGAGCAAAGGCAUCUUCUAUUUUAAACCUUUGUUAAAGGGAAAGGGACAAGCAUAUGAGGGUAGGAAAAAGAAGAGAUGAACAUUAGCAAACUUAACUGCAAUCAGAAGCAUUUGUGGAGGGGUUUGUCCUGAGAAGGCAAGUGGUAAGGUUUUGAGGGCUCUUUGCUGUUACGCAGAUAUGAAAAAAAGCAUUAAAACAGGCAGUAAUUCUGUGGCUGAAGUGAAUAAUUAAACUAAUGAAGGACAACACUUUAAAACAAAUGAUUGUAUGGGAAGUUCAUGCAGACCAAAUGUCAGCAGGCAACCUAACUCUACCUUCAAAAGUGUUUAGACAUUUUAGCAGUUUUAUAAAUACCCUCUUUCAAGUGUAUCUAUCUGUGAUUCAGCUGAGUAUCUGCCCCCACAAGGCCACCUCUGCCCAAGAGGCAGAGUCAUGUUUAAAGUAAGCAGUGACCUCUGGAUCAAAAAUAAAAUCACAUGCUGAAGAAGAGGAGAGAGUGAUGGUCACGCUUCAUGGCUUUAAACCUCAGGUUUGUUUUAUUGACACUAACUUCCUUAAUGUCUCUCUCUUUUUUUCUUUUUGAAUGGCAUGUCUUUGUUCUUUUUCAUAUUACUUAUUUUUUCUCUCAAGAAGUAGUUCAUUUUUGUCCAAUAAUUUCUUUUGGUAAAAUUCAUAGUAUGUAGAAGCAUGUUAAAUUUAGCAAAAGUGUUUUGCUCUCCUUAAACAAACACAGAGGUAACAAGGUCUAACUCAUGGCUGUGGGAGCUGCUGCCCUGGCCCCACGUCCCACGUUUCACCCGCAGCGUUUUCCCAGGAGGGGUAAGCCCCUCUCCCACUGCUGUCAGCAUUCUGCUGUUCUAAAGAGAGCUCCACAGACAACCAUUUAAAGCUCCCAGAUCUCACCGUUUGGAUGUGGCGGCUGCUGUUUGAGGCUGCCACAGAAAGGCUGGCGGCUGUGCGGGGGCAGCGGGGCGUACUGGUGUGCCAGCGGUGCACAUCUCCCACGCGCAGCUCGGUGGCUUCCCCACCUACCUCAGCUCCUGCGCCCUGCCUCGCCAGUUUUCCUGACCACCCUAAAGGGAAAAUACUGAGCAUUUAUUAAGGAUUUGUGUAUAAUAAUAGAUGAAAAGGGAAUGGUUGACUUCAGAGUCCAGGAGUUUUGCCUGCAAAUAACCAUCCAUAAUACCUGUACCCUUCACUGCAACAGACCUGGUCUGGCCCUCCUCUAGUCUUCAGAGGGAAAGGCCUUACUCACUCUGGUAUUAGCCACCACCUUAUUUGUUUCUUUUCCAUGGCUAUUAGUAUUGAAUCAGACUUUGUUUCUGAGGUUGAGUGAGAGGAAAGACGGUUUUAGUAUUGGCUCUAAUUAUGUAUUUUGCCUCAAGCCACUGACACAAACAUUUAUUUGCUCAAGGGUCACCAGAGAAGUGGUUGAAAAGCACCUACAGAUUUUAAUUGGAAUUUGAUUCACAUUCCUGUUCAAGAAUUCAGAUGACCCUUUUAUCAGAACAAGCAAAGCCUUAGAAUAUUGAAUUGCAAAUACUGUAGUAAAAAGCUUUUUUGUGGUAUUUACAGAAGUUUUUGGUCAGGGCAAAAAUUCCAGGGAAGCUGACUUCCUCUUGUAAUUUUACCACUUCUAUGUUAAAUUUAGGAACUAAAAGAGAAAGAAACAACUUAGCCUUCUGGGUUUAAUUCAAGAUGGUCCAAAGCUAAGUAAUUUGGCUUUCCAUUCACUAUAGAAGAAAGUGCUGCUGAGUUCUAGCAUUAACCCCAACCAGCUAACUUGUGUGACAGCUACAAAUUUGUAUUUCUAGGAUUCCACCUCAAGUAAAUACUUGUUAAGUGUAUGCAUUUUUGGUAGUGAUGAUGAGUUCAAAAUGACUGCUUUGCUUCUGCUGUAUGUAUCUUGGAGCUGGAUUUCUCUGUGAAGUCUGCGGAAGCUUGUUACCAUGUUAAAUGCCCAGCUUUCAUUAAAUCUACACCUGAAGGCCAAAGCAAAAAUUUAAAGAUGUUGUGAGAAACAUGAAUGGAUGCACUGAAGUCCCUUCUCCCUUUCUGAGGUGCCAUAAGCAGCAGAGCACAGAGGUGGACCAUGGGCUCCCAGCAAGUUACCACCGCCAGGGAGGGUGCACAGCUGGCUCCCCAGAAGCCAUACUCCUGACUGCUGUCUGCACCACGUGUAUCCCAACCACCCUUCUCACCCCACACACCUGCCGGUAUUUCUAGCAGUGGCAAAAAUAUUUGGAUCAUCCCACAGUGCUCAGAAACCAUAAGGAAGAGAAGCCAGUACAAAUGUCAAGCAAAUUUCGAGUCCACCCAGCUUGGCUGAGCAUUUCUGUCUGUAAGCAUACUGGGAGCAGCUUUCUGCUGAGGUACCUGGUACCUGCUGCUUUCACUUGAGCACCCUAGAAAUUCAGGGGACUUCCUAGCUUCAAAGGUAUGAGAGCUACUGCAGUCAGAUAAACCAUAGUUUUAGCAAUGAGUAAUCAGCUGCUUACAUUCGUAUUUCAGUAGGCUUCCCUGCGACUCUGUGCUGCUGUUAUUUUGUUUUGCUAUUUCUAAAUGUUCUGUUAUGGAUCAGCUCCUACAAACUAUUUAGAGGUGUCCUCCAGGCUAGACCUUUGUCCAUCUCUCAAGUUUUCAUGAGUUUCAUUAGGUCAUCUGAUCACUGCUUAUUGUGAGUCUAAGUCACUAAGAUUUAAGUGAUGCAGAGAAGCUAGCUAACUCACAGAAACUGAGGGUAUCCAAGCUGUUAUUGUCUGGCCCAUAACUGUCCUGAGGAGUUAAAUAUUACAGAGAGCUGGGAAUCCAUGUGUCUGAGUUCUGCACCAAAGAUAUUUGUUUCCAAAUCAUCACAAAUGCUUGUUUUUUCCCAAAACACAAAUACCCUUCUGACCUCUCUAAUUUUCUGAUAUAAACGGAGAAUCUUUUCAUGAUAAUCAGAGUCAAGUAUCAGUCCCAGAAAGCCAUCACUAUGCAUUAUAGGCACUUAUGCACAUUAGGAAACAAAACAAAACAAGCAAUCUACCACUUUCCAGGAUCAGUGCUAUGAAACAUUUUAUGGGUGGUCCAUAAGUGGACAGAAUGUUGCACUAAUGUGUGACUGCAUGGCAAUUAAGCUUAAUUAGGGAAGGUUUUGAAAAAGACAGAUGAAAGUAAAUUAUGGAAAUGAAAGCAACUGUGCUUUUGGGGACCACACUCUGCUACAUUAGUUCAGCGAAGUGUUGCUCAAAGUGUCCCCCAUUUGUCACAUUCUGACACACAUCCAACAGUUUGUCAAACCAAGGUUUUUCUCUAGGAGGAGGAAUCUCUUAGGAGCACAUUCUUCACCCUGUCUCUGCUGAACUCACUGGUUUCUUCAGGAGUCAGCUGCACUUCUACAGUAAGAGCAGCAGAUGACCCUUAAUGCACAACCAUCCGGUUUAGCUUAGCAUUGCCUCCUUUCUAAUGGUAAUGAUGAACGUGGAUUUUCGUUUUCAGUGUGUGCUCUGGUGAAAUUUUUUCACAUUUUCAUAUUUCUAAUGCUUUCUCAGAUUUACAACUGAGUAUCCCAUAUGGAACAUCUGAUUCUGGUUCCAGUGAUUUUCCCUGGUGAGAAGACCCUGGUAAGCAGACCCAGAGCAGUUCCAAGCCUUCCACGCUGCGUGGUUCAAAGGCAUCCUGUCAAACAGGCUCUGUCAAAGCCGAGGACUCCAGGUUUUUUGCACUUGGAGACAGAUUGUUUCAGAGCUAGGUGUCCAUUCCCCCUCCAAGAGAAUUUUAAAGGAAACAAAAUGUAACAUGCUGAAAUCCUCAGUGAAACAGGAUUGCUUUUUUCUGCUCUGGACUAAGUGGUUGUUACUGCAGGCACCAUUAUAGUAUGCUAUGUUAUAUUGAACCUUAUUAAAUUAUGGAAAAUAAUUAAGUAGAAAGCAGGGGGAAAAUGCUAUACAGUUAGCAGGCAAAUCUUUUUUUUAGCUUGGAUAGUGUCUGUUACUGCUUUCCACCAGGACACUGGGAUGCUUUUUUUCCCUAAUGAACUUUUUACGUCCGAGAUGAAAUACAGAUUCUGUGGGCAAUUUAUUAAGAAAAACACCAGUUUCAUGUGAGGAGAUUUCAGACCAACAGGGAAUUUAUAUGUGGAAAUCAUAUAUGGGCAUAGGGAAACACCUCAUAAAAAGAAUGACUACAUGGUCAGCAGCUGUAAUUUAGGUACAUUCUUUUUUAAUAAAAAAAUGUGUGUUCAGACUAAUCUUUUCUUUUUUUUAUUGCAGCUCAGCAAGGUAGCCUCAACUGUAGUUGUUUAACCUUCUGGUUUUCUUUAGUUUGUUUUUGAAAAAAAGAAAGCUAAAACCAGUACUUUGUGUUUUCAGUUACGAAGCUUUUUCAUAUGUGAAAGGUGCAGUAAGGACACCUUUCUCCACUGAAGGAAGCUGACGUAAGUGUUGAUAAAAAUAUCACACGUAAAUGUGUAUUAAAAAAUGAAAAGAGAGAGACAAAAGGAUGCUAAACAUAAAGAAGAAACUAGUUCCGGGAUGUGAUGACUGAGCGUGAAUGGCUAUGCACAGGUAAUCCAGACACUUCCUAAUGCCUAAGAGCUACAUGUCAGAUGCAUGUUUACCUGCACGUACGCAGAUGCAGACUUUGCAAAUGAUGUGUAUGUGUCCAUAAAUGACAAUUUCCUACAGGGCAAAUUUUGUGGAAAUCAAUCAAAUUAAAAAUUAUAUUCCUAGAACGGAUUCUCUAACCAAACCUUUAGAUGGGAUCUUAUGUUUAGAACAAAGCACUGUUUCUGAAGAGAGAUCCCCUUAGCCAGGGAGCCUUACUCAGAUCCCCUACUUGCCUCCUCAUCUGUAACUGGAAAGUGAAGGCUCAGCUAAAGACUUUCUGGUACGUGAGGUAAUGAGAAACUCCAGGGUAUGCCUGGGUCUGUGGUAAUGUGACACUUGUGAAUCGAGUUGGCACGAUGUCCUUGGCAGCCUUGUUGCAAGCCCUCCAUAGACUCAUUUUUACAUGGAGAUGAUUAGAUAUUAGUGGAAACCUGAUGCAGUUAUGAAGCAGUAGGUGAACAAGCCAUUUCUCCCCGCUAAAAGCCUAAACCCGGCGUUUAUUACUUCCUGUUAGGUCACAGAAACAUCAAUCACCUGUCACUUUGAUGAUAGCCACUCUCUUUUCAACUGUGCCUGAAACGCUCUGCCCUGUGCCUCUUUUACACAUGCUGCCAAUGCUCCCCUCCAGCGGGUUUCUCAAGAUCUGAAGUAUUCGUGCUGACAUCUUCUGCAGCAGGCAGAUCUCUGGGAGUCCCUGGGAUGGACUCCAAAGGGAAUUAAUAAGAGUCAAAUAAAUUAGCUGGGGCAAAGGCUGGAGUUCAGCUUUUGCUGGGUUAAUAACGGGGAAAUUCACCUGGAUUAGUACUGACUACUUAACAGGAGCCUACAGGGCAUCACGUUUUGGCCUUCUGUGAUUUGGAUACUUUCUAAAUUAUAUUUUAUGCCAGAAUGCUGCAGCAUUACUUGUUGGAAGAGCCAAGGAAAAGCAAAUUUUUACAGCUGAGACACCUGUGACAGCAGCUAGAGCUAUUUUCUCUACUCUCUCCCCACACCACAAGCCCUUACACGGCUUUAAAGCCAGAGAAAUCAAGGCAUAUGAAAAGGACCUGCUGAAAACAUACACUAAUGGAGGAAGUAAGUCUAUUAUUCCCAGUUUUCUAGAAGGCACAUUUCGGUCUGGAUGUACCAUAUUUCUGCAAGAGAUGCUUAAUAUUUACAAGUGACGGACCUGUGAAUGAGCCCAGGCUUGCUGGUAUUCUUGGAUUCCUUUCUAACCUGCCCUCAUUUCUUUUUUCCCUACCUCCUUCCCUCUUUUGUGGCUUUCCGGUGCAAGUGCCUGCAGCAACCCCCUGUUCAAGAUCCAGGAGUAAUCCUUCACUGCCGGCCCAAGGCGAACCUUGGCGACAGCCGUCGAAAGGCCUUGAUCACACAUUCCCAGCACCCUGCCCUGCCAGCAGUGGGAGGAAACUCCAGUUUAUGUUAAUAAGGUGUGGAGAGUGGCCAAAGUAUUUUGUGAGUUUUCCAGCUCGAAAGGGUAAUGAAGCUACCUCUGUCUCAGUACGCUGGCCAGGGAGCAAGCUAAACAACUGGGAAAUGAAUUUCAAAGGAGAAAUACAGAGCACAGACUCCCUGGGUUUCGCACUUCCACUGGGGGAUGAUUUUGCCUCUUUCCACCUUUUUUCCAGGCUGGCUGCUCCCUUUUGCACAAAAAGAGGGAUGGAUGAGGGAGGGCCAGCAGGCUGUUUCUGUGGAUUAGCUUCAGGCAGCUCUCGCCAGAUUGAAAGUUACACUGGAAAGCAUUUCUUAGUUUAUACCAAAAUAAUGAAUUGUUUAAUACAUAAAGUAAACCUAGAAAGUUAUUCCCAUAAAUGUGGUUUAAAAUCUACCUAUUUAUUAGCUCUGAGCAAAAGAAACCUCCACACUGCUGAGACCAUGAUCAGAUUCUUUGGGCUCACUUCAAAAAGCUCGCUCUUUUUGUCAUUCCUUUCUGACCUCCUCCCUGCCAGUCCCGGGAUGAAAAGCAAGCCAAAGAUCUGCUGAGAAAUGGGCCGAGCCGCUGCUGACCUUUGCAAAUCCAAUUUCUUCAAAGCGAGAGCUAAACGACGUGUUCCCACGCUGUGUAUUGCUGAAACGUACGAUGCAAUUCAGGGAAUGAAUUCACCAUGGUGCAGUCUCAUUUUGAAUCCAGUUUUAUUGCUACGUGUCAGAGGGUGAAGGAGGCAGAGUGUGGUACAAGUUAUAAAGAGCAUUUGCACACAAGUUUCACAAACCACAUAAGUCAGUCUUUGAAAGAUUUUGGACUUUGGAGGGGUUAUUUCCUCUAAAAAUUAAAGUGUGUAAAAAUUAAAAAACCCUUUUACCUCUCUCCCCCUCAAAAAGGGAGACAUUUUGUAGCGAUUUAAAAGAAAAAUAAGACAAUGAGAGUUUGUACUGAAUAAUCUCCAAAUAGAGAAACAAUAACUCUCUGGGGGUAUUGUCUGACAUGUAACCAAGGUGCCUGUCUGGGGUGGUUUGCAUGCACAGGAGUUAUGGGUGAAUGGGAUGGUGAUACAGGGAGAGCUUUAAAAUGAAUAUUUAAAAUUCAGAUUCUCAGUUUGCAUAUCAGAUUUGGUACGGGUGCCACUCCUAUUUUGCAGCAGUGAGAGCAGUCCACCCUGUGAGAAGGUUCAGGCCUCUGCUAGGUACCAUGGGUGUGCAUGCAGGAUCCACACAGGAAAAGCGUAUUGGCAUUCCUAACCUAACUCUUAUACUCUUGAUCCAACAGCUGCAUGGAGGCUGGUCCCCUCCCUCUGUUUUCCAGGAGGAGCUACUGUUUGUUCCCGCGCAGCUGGCUAAGCCCUGCCUGACCCCAGCACCAGACAGCCCGGUACCCCCCGCACGAGUGAGCGGUGAUGCGCAGCAGCCUGCGUGCAUGUCCCGAGCAGCGCCUGUUUGCGUAAUGCUGCCACUUUUUUCCUGGGGCAAAAGGGAUGGAAGAGGAUUCUCAUUCUUCAUUUAACUACUGUAGGGCAUAUGUCAUGGGUAGCGCAUCUCCAGUCUGUUCUUCAGCGCUGAAGAGAGGAGUUAGGUGUUCCCAGCAUGGGCUGAGUUCCGUGCACGCCCCUCUGGGGAUGCCACCUCUCUGCUGGGAAGCUAUCACAUGGCAGGCAGCAGCCAAGCUGCUCCACGUUUGGUGCCUUACCACUGAACUCCCGGCAUACAGUGUAACCCGCCGGUUUGGUCGUACAGUAGAAGCAGAGAUAUUGCAGCCUGUUUAUUUAUUUCAUUAUCAUCUCCAUUGCACAAGUGUCAUUCCAUUAGAGCUGAUGUAAUGGAGAAUCAGGCCCUUGGGCUAAUGGGCUAAACUAUGCCCUGGCUGUGUACGCUGAAGACUCAGAGGAAGCUUCAAUGCUCUCAUUUUCUAGUUGUCCUCCCCAAAGCAAAUUAAAAUACAUCAUUGUUCUCAAGACUGCUGAAUGAAGCAAGUUGGUUUUUAAUUUUAUUUCCAUAACCAUGAAUAGUAAAUUUCAUCCAUUCAUGACUGGUUUAUAAAAGAGUUUGCUAACUAACCAGAUCUGAAGAACUUUCUUUCUCAGCAAGUAUUGCAAUAAGAGCAUUGUUUGUGUUUUUAUUACUUGCUCAAUAUUUUUGUUAUUCUCUUUCCCAAGACACGAUUAGAUUUUCCAGUCUUCUGGACAUCAAAGAUUUUGGAGAAGAGAUUGUAUAAACUGGAUAGGUAACAGCUGUUACCAGAUGGAUUUACUGGUAGAAAGGGGAGAGGGCUAAUUUGUUUUAUGUGCUUCCUCCCACUGCUGGCACCUUUCACUGUGGCACACUGUUUCUGUCCUGCGACAGGGAAUAUCUUUGCACAGAGGGAGCCCUUGUCCACAGGAUUACACCUGCCUGUGGGUUUCACUGUUGUUUGUAAGUAACUUCUAAAUGCCUUCAUCGUAGCUUCUUUACCUGGUCUUCCAGUAGUUUAUUAGAGAGAAAAGAAUGGGAGGACAGCUCUAACUUUGUUAGUUAAUAGCACUGAUUGACAGAUUUUAAUUUCUGAGCUUUUCAAGUCAGAAGUUUUGUUUGCUCCACUUCUGAAUGUCUCAGAACACUUUAAAUUAGAUUUAUUUCUGUAAAAUAAAAAAAAAAUAAUUACCGUGAAUUCCCCAAGAAAGGUCACACAGGACUGAAGCAGAGUUUCAGCUUGAAUAAACUGCAGUAUCUCUGCUGCACCCUCCCAUUUAAUUUGGGAACGAACAUUCACAUGAAUCCUCUUUAUUUCCUCAUCUGGUGUAAAAUUCCUUGUGCUACUCUUUUAGAUUACUCACUGUUUAGGAAAGAUCUUGGAGGGGAAAUGGUGAUUUGUAGUAUUGCAAAGUAUUAGCUUGUAAAACAGACUGUGUGCGUGUAUAAUAACAUGAUUUUUGCAUGUUACUAUGCCAACAAUGUCUGAUCCCAUUCAGAUAACAGUAAGACAACUUACAGCUUUGACCGCAUACAAAGAAAGUCACACUACUUCUCUUUUUUAUUUUAGGUUUGAUCUACUUGCUUUUGCUAUUUGCAUGUUGUGUUUUUAAGUACCUACCCCCACGUUCUUCAAGCUUCAGAAAAAGACAGCGCUUUCCAUAUACAUUGUCUGCAAAACAUGCCCUAUGUCCUAUGAAUAUUCUAAGACAUCCACUCUGAUCUAGCAAUUUAAAUGGGACUGGUGUCUUCUUAAUCUAGUCUCCUUCUUCCUGAGGCAGCCUAGAUACUGCUUUUGAUCUUUCCCUGCCCCGAGCAACAUAAGAAUCUAUUGCUGUUGCAGGACAGGAGACUCUGGCUUCGCCCAGUCUGCUAGGAUCCUCAGACCUUUGCAAAAAUGCUCAGAUCCUCACAGAGUUUCAGCCUUUUCUGCAAGCUGGCCUGGGAGCACUGGGCACCUCAUCUGGGUGAACGCCGCUGGAGCAGACAGUCAAUGGCCACUGGGCUGCUGUUGGAAGAAUGAAUCCAGGCUGGAGAAGGACCGAACAGAAGCUAUGUCCAGAAAACCAUCUCUAAUGUGAUUUUGGGUUUUUUUUCAUUAUUUUCUAGGUCUUAAUUAAUUUUAAACUGUUUUCUUCAGUCUCCUUCAUUCGCUCCCUCUCUACUGUUCCAUAUAUUUAAAGCAAAUGACCCAAAAAUGAGAGGAAGUCCUUUCAAAUGAGGUACUGAGCUUUCGUGCAAAGUGCAGAAUAUUUUUUUCUGUACAACCAGUGGAGGAAUGAGAACAGCUCUGCCAGUUUCAAGACAAAAUGCUUCAUCUUUAGUGAGCAUUUAGACUGCAAUAAAGAUCCAAAUAUAAAGCCAAAGGCAAAACUGCAGAGGAGGCUCACGACUAGGUGGGCAGUUUGCUGCAGGAGAAGGGUAGUAAGCUUUAUUAUCCAUUGCUCCUCUUGUAGUGGGAAUUUGCCAUUCAGCUGGCACUGGAAACACUGCAGAGAGGUUUUUAUCACAAAGAAGUCUGAAAAUGUGUCAGUUUGCAAAACUGAAGGAGCUGGCAGGAUUUGAAUUCCAGAAACAAAACUGCUAUGAUAAUUGUGUUCUCUUUUGUUCAUUUUGUCUGAUUAUAGUCCAGAGCCAAAAAAAAUUUAAUAGCUUGUAAAGCUGAAAGCUAACCAUGUUAUCAAAAUGGGCUCCAGCUCACUGAGGGAUGGCAAGAAAUAUGCUUUUCCUCUUUAGGAUGUUGUUAAUAGUUUUGCAUUUCUUGCCAAUUUAUGAAAACUUUGAUAUGAUUUGAGAGGCGGUGGGUAACUGAGGAAGAUCCUUGAUUGUUCUUUGAAAAAAACAAGUUUGUUCUGUACAGUUCAUAUAAAUAGGGAGAGGAAGAAGAGUCUGGUCUAUAAUGAAAGGUAUGGUGAAAUCUAGAUUGCAGUCCCUGUUUUACACAUAGCCUUUCCAUAUGCCAAGUUAGGACUGGCGCAGGUGAAUGUCACCCCAACAGCCUACUUACACUGAAAAAUUACUGACCUUAUCUUGGAUUCCCCAGGUCACGUACUAACACACACAGAGGACUGAGCACAUUUUGUGCUUGUACAUUGGCAAAGAUUUGUGUAAAUCUCAGGCUUUUAAUGAUGUGUUAACAGGACAGUCUCUCACAUCCAGAAGAGCAGAUCUUGUUGGUAAGCCUAAGAGCUGGCAGGAGCUUGUGCAAGUGGUUGUACCAAAUGAUUGCUGAGCUCUGAAAGCAACAGCUAAUUCAGGUGCAGUAUCUCACAGACUAUGUUAAUUUUUAAAAUGAGCUUUGCAAGCCCGGGCUCAGGCUUCUACAGGUAGUGUUUGCCGAGUUAAAGUUACGUGAAGUAUUUUUUUCGCUCCACAAACUGUUUGCACAGGAGUUACAGGCCUAAGUUAUCAGUCCACUAUUGAUAGACAUUGCAAUCAGUAAUUUUACUGCUUCCUUAUCAUGUUUUUGGAGCUUUGCAGUGAGAAUAAUUAAAUAAAAAAUAAAAGAAAAAUCAUUAGCUUGAGUAAGUAUUUGCCACAAAGGAACACUUUUUCAUGGUGACUUUAAAAUGUCAUAGCAAUGCUCUGAAGCGGUACAGGAACUGUGAAGUUUCAUCUAUAUAGCCAACAGGGGAUUAAAGCUCUGUGUCUCAAGAACUUCACAAUGUACGCAUAACAAUAUUUUUCUUCUAACAUAGUUGCAUCUUCAUAAAACCUGUUAAACUGCAGCUUGCAGAGGAAGUAUAAAGCACAGGGCAAAUUAAAGUACAGUAACCCUGAAAGAACAAAUUGAUCUAACCAGAGCCGCAUUACUUACAGGAAAAAGAAUUGAGAUUAUUGAUGGCUCACUGCACAGAAACAGCAUUUACUAUGAUGGAAAAGUGUAUACCACGGAUUAACUCUGUCAGUUUUGCACUGGCCUGUUUCUCAUUUUACAUGGCAAACACUUUGAUCCAUGUUACAAUAUAGGUAUUUGCAAUCCUGGGAAACUUGCUGCCCCAAUCUAAAGAUGAAAUAAUUUAAUCAUAAGUACUUGGACAGGCAUUUUUCAAACCAAUUUAAUUAUGUUUCAUUGUUUACAGCCUGUGUCUUUAUGUGAGCAUUACACCCAGAGAUAAUUUAAGAGCACAACAUGCUUGCAGGCUUAGGUGUGUGGGACGUUUGAAAGAAAAUGGAAAUUUGGUUAGUUCUUUUAGUUUAUAACUCCAAAGCACUCAAGCUUGAAUAUCCUUUUGUUUUCUUUUUCUGUUAAGGAAUUUAUUAUUUUUAUUAAUUUGUCUCUAAUGUUGCCAUUCCUGUGCCUGUAAAUACAUAUAUAUUCUCAUGUAGUUUAAGAACAGUGAUAGCAUUACAGUGAUUUUGGGCAGAUCUUGAGCUGUGCCAUAUUCCUAUAACAUCUCAGAAUUCCCAAGGGCCUCAGAAGCAUUGCUCCAGAUUUAUGGUUGCCUAACACUGGCAGAAUUUUAUCCAUUUACAUCAGUAUUCAGAUCUAAUGCUUUAGUCAUCCAGAUCCCUAAACCGGUUAUCCUGACCAGUUCUUGAGCGCUGCUUUAACUGUUGCACUCACAGCUUUUAUGAAUUUCAUUUACAUUUACAUUAUGGUAAAAAAGAUAAACUGAGCUUUUAAAGAUGGAAACUGCUGAUACUUUUUACUAAUUUCUAGAUCUAUUAUGUCACUAGUACUCUUUGGGAAAGUUCUGAUUUACAAAAUGUGAUCUCAUGGUGUGUUUUAUCUUAUUGGUUUCUUGCCAUAUUGCCAGAAUGCAGUGUAUUCAGACAGAGGCAACCAAAAUGCAUGCUUCAGCAGCCUAUGCAUGCAGACAAAGUGUGCAAAGCUGGUUUUCAUUUUCCAGAAACAGAUCUUAGUUACAGUAUACCUCCAAAUGAAUGGCUUUUUAUUAUUGGUUUGGUGGUUUUGAUUUUGAUCGGGUUCUUUGGUUUUAUGUUUUUGAGGCAUGUGUAUCACAUGCUCACAGGAAAAGUCCAAGUUUCAGAAGUUUUCUUAGAGUGAAUUUAGAGCUUUUGAAAGCUUUGCUAGAAACCAUCAUUCCCUGCCUGCUCACAAAUAACAGCACCUACAGCUCUUUUUGCACUAUUAAGGAAAGAUCCCUUACAAAAUGCUACAUAUUUCUCCACCCUUGCUCAGAAGGUACUACUCUAGAAAAGAAAAGAAGGCCUGUUUGGUCAUAUGCUGAGUUUCUAAGACUACCAAAAAGAUUCUACUUAAGAAGGGUCAACUUAGGAAAAAUACCCUCUUGAAGAAGAUGCUAACUUAAGAAAUGGUAUCUUCUCACACAACCUCUAUGAAAAGCAUUUGGUUUUCAAACAUCUGUAGUUAAGUUGAACUGUCAAUUCCCCUGCCUUUAGUAACUGAAACCCCACAUUUUCCAUAGAACUAUUCAGCAGUAUGCAAAAUAUUAUUAGCAGAAGGGGAAAUAAAAACAGCGAUUCUGAUCAAAACCGAGAACUGCCUCAGUAACAGUCUGGUUCAGAUAUACACUGAAGAGGGGUUAAGUUGCCAGUUUCUGCUGUGGGCAGUUCACUGGAGAUCUCUUACAACAAUCUUGGUCUUCAGGAGAAUCAUAUCAGGCAGUCAGUGAUGCCUGUUCUUAACUUGAGCAUUAAUAUAGUUUUCUCCUUGACAUCUUUUAAUCUUUUUUUCACCUAGCUUUAUCUAUAAAAUUAUAGAUUAGAGAUAGGUAGAUACAGAUACAAUCAUUUUGCAUUUUUUGCAGUCAUUUACAUUUUUGUUUUCUAUCCCUCCCUUAGCUAUAAAAUCCCAUAUUUUAUCUCUGUUGAAGGAAUGUGCAAAUACCAUCAAACUCACUUCUCAGAUGAUUUUUCAAACCAAUAGUAUUUGAAUGGCUAGAAAUUAAAAAGCUGUUUUUGCUAAACAUCUGGUGAUAUGCACUCUUCUUGUCAAUUUGCAUUUAGGCUCCUGUGAUGAUAUUCUGGUAAAAUCUGAGAUAGGAUUUUCAUUUCCAAGCACUAGACUUAUUUGUGAAACUGGAGGUGGAAUACUCAGUAUGACUUCUCAGGUGAUAGGAUAGCACUCGGUGAAACAGCAAGGAGCAUUUAACAACUUUGCAGAAAGGAUUAUCUUUCUGAGAGUGUUCAACCCAGGUAGAACCAGGAAGUUUAGAAACUGUGCAGAAAGUCAUGCCCUGCUGAGGUCUGGUCACUGCCUUGGUCAAGAGUUAGACGAGGUUUAGACAAAGUUCACAUCCUUAUACUUCGCCAUCCAUAGGUGAAGAAACUGAUAUGAAUUUGAGCAUCUGAUACGCAGCUGGUACUCACUUUGUUAUUAACCUUGCUAACUACUGCACUUCAAAAAUCUUUGUCUUUUUCAGCUUAAAUGGUAUUUUUCUGGCAACACUUUUUAUGGAGCUUUAAAGCUGUGUCCCACAACUAGUUUUGUUCUUCUUUCUGUAGCAUUUUCUACAAUUUCUGUCAAGGAAUUGACGUAUGCGAAGAACUGUACAUUGAACUCUAGGAUUAUUUCAGUUUUGUAGGUUUUAGUCAAUAACAAUCAAUUUACCUAGCCCCAAAGCAUGAGAAGUGAUAUUCACUGGAAGAAGCACAGUGGUUUACAAGUGCAUCUGAAGCUGAAAAGAUGGUACACAGAAAUACUGUACUCUUGGGAAGUCUAGCAAUGUCAGUUUUGGAGUUCAUUCACAUGCUUGUGUAAGAGAUGGAUUACUUUAUGGAACAGGUUCAAUUCUCAGUCUUACCCAGGUAAAUCCAGAGUGCUUGUCCUGAGCACAGAUGACUCCACAGUCUGCCUCUGUGUUAAUUUGACUACAGUGAUUGAGUUAUUAUGCGGAUUAGUCCACAGCAGCAAAGUGGUAUUUGGACCUACAUGAAGCUUAGCAGGAAAAAGCUGAAUCUGGCAACUUGAUUUGUGUCCAUCCCUCUCAGUUUCGUUUAGAAAACCAUUGAAAAAAAGCAUAUUGUGCCAGUUCCUCUCAGUUUUGAUAGUGGUGGUUAACCUCCUGAACAGCUUUCCUUUAUUGAUAAUGUCUCAGUUAGAAUGUCAGUCACAUUUUGUACUUAGGAAAUGUGUCUUUCAUGAACUGCCUUGCUGACUGAGGAAGCUUCAGUUAUUUUUUCUUUCAAAACAGAUACAUACCCUUUCCCUUACCUCCCCAGCUGGACAAAGCCAGUGAUGAUUAAUCACUCUUAUCAUCUUUCUGAAAUAUCAGAGUUGUCCCCCCUCAUGGCAGAGAACACCAAACCAUCCAACGAGAAAGGAGGCCGUGUGAAUAGCCUUGCUGAAUUCCUAAUUAUUUGCUCUGGCAGUUCCCAGUGAAGCAGCUGGUUGUCUUUGGAAAGCUCUGCUUGUUGUUUUGGGUUUGAACAUCAUGUGUCUUUAAUUUUCAGCACUAGCCACAGGGAUAAGUAUCACAAAUAUCUGCUUGAAGGCCUUUUGCCCUUGGGAACCCAAUAUAUACUUGGCAGCCUCUCUGACAGUGGAACUGAGGGGAGAAUCAAAGUUGACUCAUUGCCUUAUAUCCCCUCAGGGAGAAGAAAGAAUAAAAAGGGCAAUUGCUGCUUCCUUCAGUUGUCUGAAGCGAGUCUUUCCUGUUUUGUAGGGAAUAAACUAAUGCCAUUUUCUAAAAUAAUCUGCCCUCUAUAUGAACAAAUUAUUCCAUCCAGUACCAUACAGCUAAUUCUGGGGUUUGAUUUCCUUGUAUCCCAGUGCAGUUUUGGGUGGAGUUCAGAAAUGCAUAACCCCACGUAAAACUAGAAACAGACAUUCACAUCUUCCACUCAACACUUACCUCCAGCAGAAUCUACUGUUAUGUUCUUCAGCUGAACGUACGGUAAACUCUAAUGGAAAUCAGUUUGUGGAGGGCUGUGUAUGUCCUCAGGUGGAAAGAGCAUGGAGCGUGCUUUGUUUAUUAUGCCCAAGCUGUUAAUGUAUUCUGAUCUCCUAUGGCGUAAUCAGGACCAACAUAAAUGAAUGUCACCCUGGUAUGUUCAUUAUUCCACCUGUGGGUAUAACUUCACAAAUAUUUCCCACUUUAAAUGACACACUGAAGUGAAACUGUCAUUAGUACAUUGGUAACAUCACAAUACAUAGGGGAACCCCGAGCCCCAAUGUAUGCAUUAGCUAAAGAUUAAGCAGAAUGCCAGAUGAGCUUUGAUUCAUUUUAAAAAUGUCGCUAGGCAGAGAUCCAAGCUCACACCAAGUGAUGCCAAGAUAUUUGCUCAUGUCUCCAUCGCCCCAUAUCUCAAGUGGUGCAACCGCCAGAAAUAAUUUUCCUUAAUAGAAAAACUUCACGCAUUUUGCACAUUGCUCUUUCCUAUGUAAAUCUUGUUAGUUUAUGAUUUCAGUCUGAAAAUAGAAUUCAGCUCUUGUAUUUUAGAUCUCAAAAACAUCUUCCUUUAAGACAGUAUUUCUGUAUUUCCAGGAAACUCAUUCUUUUUAUUUUAUAAUCAGCUCCACUCAGCACAAGGUUCUUCACAAGAAGGUGGCAAUUAUCCACUGAGAAAAUUCAUAGUUUUAUUUUUCUUUCUAAGACUUCAAGUUUUGCUCUUAGUCUUGAAAUUCAGUGCUUUUCUAGGGAGUAUGCUUUUGAGUUGAUGAGGAUUUGUUAUACUACUCAAAUACAAAAGAGAGUUUUAGCUGGGGAAGAAGCUCUCAAAGAUGAAUGAAUGUAUUAUCUUAGCGUGAAUCUGAACUUUGUCUUGCAAAACACUGCACAGGCUUUCAGUGAUACAGAGCCCAUUGGAAUCAGCUGUUGUCUCACAGCUGAAAAUAAUAGGGCUCAAAAUGGUUCUGAUUAUUCCUGAUUUGAAAGGUAAGUUGGUAUGACUUUAGAUGCUUCAUUUUAAAUAUGUUCGUACAUUGUAUAAUCAUAUUAAUAUUUAUAUGCUAAUUUAAUCACUCUGUCCAACACAGAGAAUAUGGCCUUGGUCUGUAAGCAAGCUCCCCUCUUUACAGUUGCAGGAGUGUAUAUCUGGACCUAAUUGUACCAUUAGCACUUUGUGACACUUUUUGCUUUGUGACAAGUUACUUAAGUCGUAAGUGCUUUAAGUUUUGUUAGUGUAUGAUUCCAUUAGCAUCUUUUAUCUCUACCCAGAGCUCCUAAAUCAGUGUUGUGUGGUUUAUACAGAAGAGCCAGACAGAGGUGUUUCUCCUUCCCUACUCCUUCUUUUCGCUUUGCUUCACACUGAGGUACAGAAACUGUCUUGCACAGUAUUACACAGACAUAGGAAGGCACUCUGUACUUGAGCAAGGGCUGAAGCAAGAAAAACAAAACGAAUGUGAUGCUAAGAGCUCAGCACAGCAGAAGACUUUAGGAGGAUCUAUAAAAAGUUUAAAUUGGUAAAACAUGUAUGUGGGUGGGUUAGAAAGAGAAUAAAGUGUAAUUAAGUUACUGAAGCCUCAUCAGGACUCUGAACAUUGUUCAGUGUGCUUUGCAGUUUGCUUUAAAGAAAUGUCAAGAAUACCCACAUCCUUAGAAAGGGGACUUUUUUCAUAGUUUAACAUUAAUUUUGACAAAUAUAUGAAGGCUGCUGGUUUUUGGACCUUGCGUCAUUCUGCUGUGGGGUAGUGUAUUACAGGAAUGUAGGAAGGCAAAAAUCCCACCUUCUGCAAACUAGUAACAGGGUUGAGCUGUGCAUAUUGGGCACAGCUGAAAGCCAGGGGGGACUUUGCCAUCCUGCCCUAAAGAGGGUGCUGGGGCACAUCCUCUUCUCCAAACAGGGCUGGGAGUCAGCUCCCUGCCUCUCUGCCUUGCAGGGACAGCCCCCUGGGGGGGCGGGGGUCCCUGCCUGUGCACUGAUACCAGAAGGGUGGAUGGAUGAGCUGGGAUAGCUUUCCCCUCUAUCCCUUUGAAGCAGGGGGGAGCAGAAAAAAGAGUGCUAAUCACAGAAAAGUAUUCUUGCAGCUACUGGGUCUAUAAUGUUGUCAGUUUAGGUCUGACGCCCUCAUGCUGUGACUGACCCAGACACCGGCCCCUUCUCCCUCUGCUAAUGCCUGCUUGCCCUUCACUUUCGCUGGAGCUUCCUGGGGGCACAUUGAGUGAUGACCCCUACAAAUGACCUAGGCUGCUCCUUUACAAAACCCUGUGUUGCACCUGAGGCCAACAGAAGAAAACAUGAUGGUGAACUUCAUAAAGUUCUGCAAAGUAACAAGUUUUGUGGACCAAUACUGCUCCUGCAGUCAUCGCAGCAGACCAGACCUCCUGAGCCCAACUGUGUGAGUUGCCAUAGCGUGCACAGUGCAACAGGUAAGUGGGAAACCUGGAGCCAGACAGCGAUUUUGGUCCCAAUUUAUACAGGCAGCCUUUUGACUAAUUCUCCUUCUCAUGGUCCCCAAAUCCCAAGGCUGCUGGGAAUCGGUCCUUCCCCUUGUUCAGGCCUAUGUCCUCCCCAAAUAAUCCUUACAUGAAUGCUCAGUGGGCUCCGUCGUGACAGGGGACUCCUUCACUGGCAGAUUAGUGGAGUGUUGUGGCUGGGAAAAUCAUGUACCGCAGCUAUAAUAGUGAAAUUAUGAAGAGUAAUGAGGAUUUGAGCUGUUAUCUAUCUCAUAAAUACACAUUCUAAUGUGCAGGAAAACCACAGUGUUGACUGAAAAUAUUGCAAUCUUCAAGGGAAAAAAAGAUGUUAGCCAGAAGUGUUGUGUCUUUACAUAUGGUUCACCUAAAAAAAAAAAUCUGACCUUUUUUAAGAUGGCUGCCAGCCAACAUUUGAGCAAUAUUUCCUUUGUGUUUCUGCUCACACAGAAUGAUUUAUGUCCAAGUACUCUCUAGCUGGUUCUCAAAUUGCAGUAAUGAUUUUGAUUAUUUGUUUGUAGUUAUAUCUGAACAUUUCUGCCUGCCAUGUCGUAUAUCCUGAACCAGUGUGUCAUUUAAAGGCAGCUGCUGUGCCCAUGUAGAGCCCAUUGCUCUGUCUGGUCUGUGACUGUUUGUGUGUACUAUAUGUAAGUUUUAGACGGUGAAAAGGGGGAGCAAGAGGACCAUAUCCUCACCUUGCUGACCAAGGAAAUCAUAGUUUUCAAGGAAAUUAUUCUGACGCAUAUGUAAGGAAGUCAGAAUUCGGUCAGGAUACUUAGAACAAGUGGCAAUUUUUUCCAUGGGAAGAGUUAACUUACUUUCCCACGAAAGAGGUGGGGCCAGAGCCGCAUGCCAUCAACCCAGAAGAUAUAAGGCAGACUGCAAGGGAAGCGCAGUUGGGCACAGCUGCAGUGAACAAGGUCAUCCGUGCAGGACAGUGCAUGAAGAACAUGCUGCAGGACUUCAGGGUUUGCCUACACAAUGUCACAGAGGAGAUUUAGUUGGGACACUUGAGCUAAAAAGCCUGCCUGCAUACCAGGCAACUUGUUUUGCUCAGCUGAGACCCACAUGCAUGUUAAUGACUUGUAUGUCCAUGAAGUGAUUUAGCAUGGACAACAGAGAAAAGGAAAACCACAUUUUUUUUUAAAAAAAAAGGUAGGGAAAAAAAAGAGGAGAUAGCACAAAGAAACAGUGUAUCCAUCCUGGAAUCAAAAUUCAAGAGCAUAAUGCAGUUUAUAUCAAUAUAAAUUUCUAUACCAAAGUCAAUAUGACAAAUUAGGCUGUCUGUUUCAGUGAAAGAGUUCCAACAAACACUUAAAUGUUUUGAGAGGAGUUGAAAAUGACCACCAUCAUUACGAUAAAACAAAAUAGUGGUGUAUAUGGAUUGUCUGUUGCUUUGCUUUCCACCUUUUGGAAAUGAGACAAAAGAGUUAAGGGAAAAAAAAGAAGAACCUUACUGUGCGAAGUAAAAACCCACAGUAUGCAAUGGGUUUUUUCUGCAGAAAGUACCUUUUCUUAAGCGUAGGCAUUUUUCUUUUCAAAAGUUAUCAGAGAAAUUAGAACUAUAAAAGAUCUUAUUCUCUUAUUUAGUUGGGACUCUUACAGAUUCGUAGACAUUGAGACCGAUGGUCUGUUAUGAUCACUGUCUCAUCUGACUCAUACAUCAGCUUGUAUAAUUUCACUCAGUAAUUCUUUUACCAAGCUUAUGACAACAUACAGCUAAUUAAAAGGUUGUGAUCUCAUAGUUAGUGUUUUCACUUAUGCUAAGGGUGCCAAGGACUUUAAAAGAUCUAAUCACACCCACAUUAGGGUAGAUACCAUAUGCAUCUUACAGUGUAUUGAUAGCAAAAGCACAAUGAAACUGUCACACAUUCUGGGUAAGGAAUUCACAAGGAUUUGGGGCUGGAGCAGGGGUCUCAGAGGUGAAGGCAUGGUCUCUCCCCUCAUCCCUUCUGCAGCUGUGUCCCCACUGUAACCGUGGUCAGACAUCCAUGACAGCUGGCAGCUCCAACGCAGCACAGACCUUCCUUCACCCACCUGUGUAGUGAGAACAGACCUCAACUGGUUCUUGACUGGCAGGACCAGGAACCCCACCGGGCACAAGUGCUGUCUUGUAAUGCCCCACAUGUGCUCUGCAGAAGGCAAAACCACCCCAUUAGGCCCUCAGUCUUCCUGUUGGUGGCCCUCCUUGCUGGCUGUCCUGCAGAAUGGUGCCACGAGGAGCAUGUGGCUUGUGCCACAGAUGCCGUCACAACAGUGGUGCUCCAUGACUUGGGUCUGCACAGAGAAAUCACAGACUCUCAUGGUAUAAUGGUAGCAUCCAUCACAAAAUGCACGUACACUGAGACAGUGAACCUGUAUCUUAUUUUACCAAAACCUGAUAUUGGACCAUUCUGUGUCUUGUACCUCUCUAUAAAAGAAAUUGUGUCCGUGCUUCACUCCACAUUUCACAUUUUAUAGUUGCAGGCUAGGUGCACACACAGGUUUGCCUGCAGCAGCUAUGGUCGCACAAACAUACAAUAAGGAGUGUUAAGGACAUGUUUUGCUCCAGAAAGUCAGUUAAAGUCCUGAAAGUAGAACAUGGUAGCUACUGAAUUCUCUGGCUGAUGGUAGUUCAGUGAAACUUCCUUUGGCAUUCCCAAAAAUGUGACUGGAAGAAUAAGUGAUUCCCAAAGGGCUCCUCAGGAACAGUCCAAAGCUGCAGGCCAGAUUAUUUGUUUUAGAAGACUGUUGGCUGAGCCCAUCUAUUGUUGGGUCUGCUGCAGCAUUUCUUUUGUUCUUGUCAAACUUAGCAUCCUCAGUUUUCUUGUAAAUAAUUUACCAGACUUUGGAAACUUAACAUGGUGGGGGAAAUAGCAGGGGUUUUUCUGAGUAGCUAUCAUCCUUCAGCUUCCAGGAGGCUGUAAGUAACAUUUUGCAACAUUACUCCAUAGAAAAAAAGCCAACAAGACAAUAUAUUACUGAGGGCAGGUAUGCUCAGAGGAAAAGCAAGUCUCCUGGAGAGCCGGGGUUUUAGUCUAAUGUGUUUCACAAAUAGAACUAAGGAACUAGCAGCAUCAAUGAGCGACCCAGGUAGCAGCAGUCAAACUCUGUAUUGCAUGUACUAACAAUAAUUUUAACAACAGAGUCCAUGAAUGUCUUAGAAGGCACAGAGAAUACUGGGAGUGGAAAGAACAGAAGUUUUCGAUGGAGGGAAAUAACAUUCACCUUUUGAUAAGCUCCAAAAUUGCCUUUUCCAAACAGAGGUGCCUUGUAUUACGCCAUUCCUGUUGGCUGUUUGGGCUUUUUUCAUUAGAUGGAAGAACUUCUUGCUAUAGUAAUAAAGGUCAGGCAUUAUUGUGCCUCUUUUAUGAUACUGACUAGCACAAGUCGUGUAUACAAACCCAGGAACUAUUUAUUUAUGUGGAAUACAUACUUAAAUAGUGGACUACAAAUCAUUUAAAGAUGCCAAUGAUAUGAAUCAUACCACAAUUUCAUGGAUAAGUGGAAACAUUAUGCAACUUACUGAGUUUUUAAAGCACUAACGAAUGUGAACUACACAGCAGACUUGAGCUGGACCUUUUCACCCCUUCUAAUAUAUGCCGUGGCUAUUUAAUAUUCCUCACUAGGGAGUAAUGCUGGCAUACAAGUCAGCAAUAUAUUAGGCAAUGGAGCCAUGAACCUAGUGAGAACAUAAACUAAACUGAUUUUCAAUUUUCAAACAUUACAAAAAGGACUAUUAUUGUGAGGUUAGAGAUGUCAAAGUUGGUGACCUGGCAUAAUGAAGUAUUCCCUGCCACACAGUCAAGCAUGAAAAGUAAUUGGAGGCAGUAUAAACUUUUAGAGUCUUGGGGGUUUUUCCCCUCCCAAAUUAAAUAUUCUUUUGCACUAACUAUUUUUUUUUUAAUUAAAAAUAGUAAUUUUUGUGAAGCAUCAUAAAAGCAGAAAUGAUGUUUCUGUAAAGUUUGCAGUUGAUGGAGAAACCUGUGUGUUUAGAAAUGAGGUCACAUCUUAACACUGGGGUUACUUACAUAAGGCACUGAUGAAAAGCAAGUUGCUACCUGCCAUCUAGGAAUGACAUUAAAAUAUUAUGGCAGCAUGUGACCAGCUUUAGAGCUUAAAAUCUUGAAAGGACACAGACAAUGUCCCCUUUGAGGAACAUUCCUGAAGAUCACUUUACAGUUUCUGCUAAGCUUUAAAACACAGAGUAAAAUGCCCCAUGUCUAAGCAGCAACGAUAAAAGUUGUUACUUCUUAGCUGCAACAUUUACAUCUGAAAAAAUACCACUAAAGUGUGCACAGGUCUUUCUGCUGGUCCAUCAGAGGAAAGGGGUUAGCAUUUAGUCUAGGGAAUGGUGUAUUAGUAUUGUGAAUCCCAUACUCCAAGUGUUCGUUAUGGCUCCAAAUCCCAACUUACUGCACUGGCUUUGACCAAGUUAUUCCUGAUCUCCCCUGGCACUGCAUUGUGUGAGCUGGCACAGCAUCACUCCCCAGGAACUAGACUGCAGAGGGCACUCCUAUAUAAGAAGGAAUUGCAGUCUCCAGGCUCAUUUACUUUUAGCCUUGAUGAUUCAUUGUUAUUUUUUCUUCUUUAAUAAUUAAUGACACUAUUAUUACACUAAAAAGAAAAUCUUAUUAUUUUUGACAACUGGUUUUGUUAUGACUAUUUAACUUCCCCCCCAAGUUUAUACAAUUACAGUCUGUCAGUGUUCAUAUCAUGUUCGGGUCAUCAGCCUCAGAAAUUAAACAUACACAGAAGGGCGACCUAUUAAUAUACCAUCCUAGGCAUAACUUGAGUAGAGCAGCACGGGGAGUGCGCGAAUGAGGACGGAGAUGGUUUUUGCCAUGUGCCUGGGAAGUCAAAGAAACGCUGGCUGAGGCAGGCCAUCCAGUGAGCAAUACAAAACCCACCUUCCCCUUCCUCUCAUCCCAUCUCAGGAAAGGUUUGUUGGAAGUAUUGCUUUGGUACGGAUUUAAGCUGUGACAGCAAGGAAAGACACAGCCUCUCAAACAACAGGCCCUGAGCCUCGUGGGCUGGACAAACAGACUACAGCUAAACGUGGCCGGAGAUCUGCACUUUGCUGUCACAGCGGAGGUGGUGGGACUCUCUGAACGGUGGGCAGCCGUCUUAAGGCUGCCAUAAAUGCAAACGGCUCUCUAAAGCUGUUACAAUAGGCUGUCGAAACCCUGACAUGCCUCAAGAUUAGGAAGAAGCAAGUGCAGUUUAUAGCUACUUGAGCCUCACCCUCCUUUCGUUUUUAUGAAUUAGAAGUAAAGCCUGUAGUGGCAUCAUCCAGCAUCUCAGCCUUAAGGCUGAAUAGCUUAAAGCCAACAGAAUUAAUUCUGGAAGUUCAGCUGGAGCCUAUGCAGCUCCUACAUUGCAGUUUAAAUGUGCUUCCAAUAUUUAGCUUUGUUUAAUGAGAGCAAGUCUGUACUAGCUUUGGCUUCUGCAGGGAUACAGCUCAUGUAUCAUCCAGCCGACAACAGAAGGGUCAUUUCGUUUCCUGUGGGUAGUGGAAAGUGAUCUGCCUUUUCACACUUACUUCUGGAAACUUGUCACAGGGAAAGUGUAAGAUCAGGCUAACGCUGUGUAAAAGAGCUGACUGAGCAAGGGUAGUGGGACCUGGCUGUUGAAGCAGCAAAUACACUUCCAUAGCUGAGCCCUGAAUCAUGUUUAUUUUCAAACCAAAGACCUCACAUUUCCAGUGAGAGAUUUGCUCAGUAAAAUGCAUGCAUUUCAUAUUUCAUUACCACAUGCUGUUUAUCUCGUAGUGGUUAAGAAACAAAGGAGUGUGGAAAGGACAGUUAUACGGGGGAGCUGUAACCAUAAAGAUUCCACUGAAUAGGAUUUUCCCUCGUUCCAAACUGUUAUCUCGCUAGAUAAAAACAUUGUGCUUUAUGAUUAAGCUAAUUGUGUUGGACAAGCCAGUCUGCAGUCCUAGAAGCCUGGAUUUUCAAAUGUGCUGAGCACUGGCAGCUGCAACCAAAGUCAGUGGGGGCAUUUAAAGUGCAAUUAAAUGCGAAGUUCUCUAAAAAUUUAGGCCAGAGGCUGUCUGUAAAAUGGGAGUAGAGAUGCUACCUUGCCUCACAGGGGUGCUGUGAACAUUUGUGGCACAGCUACUUACACUAGUAAGCAGUUACACUGAAAAGUCUGUGGAAAAAAACCUGUCUUUUUUUCAGACCAAGGUUUGGCUAUAAAUGUUAAAAUAGGGCCUUGAACCACAGACCGAACAGUGAAGAGGAAACAAAUAUGUAUGGCUUGCCCAUUUGUAGACUGAAUGGAUGACAGCUCAUGCUCCCUCCCUCGCAAAAUAGCUUAAAAAUAAUAAUAUGUAUACCGCAUGGGUUGUACAAGCAUAUCUAAUUCUAGCAUUCCCUACAGUAUUCCCCCUGAAGGGAGUGUGGGGUUAUUUUUAAAAAUUGAUGUAAUAUAUGUAUAAAUGUAGGCAAUAUGCAUAAACAACAUGUAUUUGAGUAAGAAAUCUUUGUAGACUGUCCAGAUAAAGGAGAUGAAGAUGAUUAAGGGACUGGCGCAUCUGAUGUGUGAGGAAAGUCUGAGAGAGGUAGGUCUGUUGAGACUAGAGAAGGGGAGAUGGCUCAUGGUGGGAAUCUCAUCAAUGUGUACAAAUAUGCAAAAGAAAGAUGCAAAGAAGAAAGAGGCAAACUCUUCUCAGUUGCAUCCUUUGGAAGGACAAGAGGCAAUGAGCACAAACUGAAAUGCAGGAGAUUCCAUUAAGCAGAAUGUAACAAAAAACAUUUUUACUGCAAGGGUGAUCAAAGUCUGGAGCAAGUUGCCCAGUGAGAUUUUGGAGUCUCUGUACCUGGAGAUAUUGGAAACUCAGCUGGACAAGAUCCUGAGUUACCUGUUCCCAUUGACUCUGCUUUUAGCAGGAAGUUGGCCUAGACAAUCUCCAAGAGGUCCUUUCUAACCUCAACCAUUUUAUGAGAAGCAAGGCAAUUUUUUUUCCCAAUUUCUCCUUUAUUCGCUUUCCUUGCAGUAUUGGCAGAAUAGAUCAGUUUCUAUCCUGUUCUGGGUUGGAAUUUCUGAUUUUUUUUUCUCCUUUAUCAAGAAUAUCUUUUCCUUUUGUGGAUACUGCUCUCUAAUUUUACAGGCUAAUGUAGUGUUCUACUAUUUCUCCUGAAGUUAAAACCUGUUUCUUCUUUUGUGAGUGAAGCUUCAGCACAAUAUCACCAAGUGCCCCAAUAAUAAAUAAAAAUUAAACAAAAUAUAGCAUAGAAUGUAGCAGAAACUGAAAAUAUUCUCCUUAAUGUCACUACAAAUGAAAUCUAUUUCAGUGUACUCUUUCAACUGAACAGGGAAAACAUUUGUAAAAGGUGAGGAUUAAUUUGCCCAUAACUACCCAGAAACUGAAGCAGUGACCAAGAAUGAGCGCUGACAUCCUAAUAAUAGUGUAAGGUGAAAUUAUUAUAUAAGAACAGAAAUUUAUAAUUUCAAUCAUUUGGUGGAGUCGUUCCAAGGAAACAAAAAUACCAGAGUUGAAUACUCAUAAUAACAAUAAUUAGAAUUAGCUGUAAAUAUUGCCCUGCAGCCUGCUGUUACAGUUCAGACAGUUUUGUAAUGGUUUAGAUGCUGUGCUACAGUGGUUUUUAUGCUUCUUUUCCUAAAUGUUAGAGAAAAUCUAUAUUCUGUUGCCUUAACAUAUUUCCUGCCUUUCCAUGAACGACUGUGACUGACCUACUCACUUUACAGUCAUUUUCUGAUACAUUUUCAAAUUAGUAUUUAACUAUAUAGUGACGGACAAACUCAGCAGUGUACUUUGCCAGGGGAACAUUUUUAAGUACUGCUGCAUAAAGCACGGAGAUGUAGCAAGACAUUUAAAUUAUUAACAGUUACUAUUAGCAGGCUAGAAGAUAAUUACGGUAUGAUUCACAACGCUUUGUUAUUGUAAUAACUUCUUGUAUUUGGAUGGUGGUAGCAUUCAAACAUUGUUCAGCACAAUUGCAAAAAACCUGUUAAAGUCUAUAAAUACUUCAUUGCAAGCAGAGACAGUACUGUGUCACACUACACAUGCUAAUUAUUGAAGAUCCUUAAGCCAAAUAUCUUUUUUUUCUUUCAUAUUUUCUACUUUUUUUUUUACCCCCUCUUUAACAUCAGGCUUUUAACUACUUGUUCCAGUAGGCUUUCACUGAGAAUACUUGCUUUUUUUGUAGGACUCUGGAAAAUACAACCGACUGUUACAUAUAUAUCAUGAACAGCAAAUGUCAAGUGCCUUCAAAUCUGCUGGUGAACAGCUUUCUGUAAGAGCUGCACUCAGUCCGAGGCAGGCCAGAGCAAUCCAGGCAGCUUCAGCUUCUGUUAUUUACAUUCUGCAAAAUUUAAAAAAUAGUAAAGAAACUGUGGAUGAGAUUUAUGAGGGAGUUCUUGCAGUCAUCUUACAGAAAAAGACAGAAGCCUUACUUUGGAAACCACUAGUGGAACUGUUUAUACCCAGGACAUUCCAAGCAAAAAUGAUUCCCAUGUUUCUUUAUAAUCAGGAGUCCCAGAUCGUGAGUGUGAAUAAACUUUUUUCAUCUCAGGUUAAGAUGGUUUAUCAGCUACUGGAUCUGCCACUUCUUCAGUCAGCUUUUCAAGGACUGGUUACUGAUCGUAUAUCACAUCAGUGGAAUUUAUGAGAGGAGGAGUAAAGAAAAGCAUAAUGUCACAUCUUGGGGGAAGGAAGAAGACAUUUGUCUGAAAGGCUGGCUUUAUUUUUGAAAUGGCAGCUGCUUGGAACUGUUGACAGAUUGGGAGUGUUGGAAAUCGCCCCAGGCCAGAGGAAUUAGUGAUCUGGGUUCAGGUGAAGUGGUCAAAGGUGCUCUAUAAAUGCCAUUUCCCACACAGCUAUCACCACUACAUAGUAGUACAGGUAACAGCUAUUUUUAUAACAUGUAUUGCGUUAUUUUGGAUAAGUCCCACACAGGUCAGGGGUAUGUACUUUUCCAUCAUCUUCCUCCCCUUUCACUGCAGCAAUUGCAGUAAUUUGAGACAUUCCUACUGCUAUUCCUAAUUGAAUUAGGAUGGGCUGAAGACAAGGUAUCUGGGUAGGGGUGGCAGAGAAAUAGCUCUUCUAAUCAAGAAAUAGCUUUCAGUCUUUUUCUUUCUGUUAUUUCCUGUGAGCUAAAUAUGUUGAUCAGAUUCAUGGUCACGUUGUAAGGAAUUUUCCAAGGAACAGAAAUAAAUCAAUCAAACAGGAACUGGAAAAGGGGGGAACAAGAGGUUUCAUCUAUUCAUGAGAACUUGAUACUUUCACUUCUUGCACUCUAUUCUGCUGCAUUUUAUUUAUAUUAUCAUGCAUGUUUCCAGAGAACAAGUAAGUUUUCAUUUAAUUUCAAAUGGAAAUAGUGGAAAAUGGAAAAAGCUUUCUCCCUCCAUGCACACAUAACAUGAAAUAUAUAAUUUAGUCAAUUGAAUAUAGUAUAGAAAUAAAAAUAAUUGAAGACACAUGUUUUUUAGGCAGUCUGCUUGGUUUGAACCAAUACCUCUCAACUAUCUUGUGUGAUAACUGCAAUGUCAUGUUUUGUCCUACAGUGUCCAUCCACUCCCUGAUGGUCUGAAGUACAUCAGAAGUACAGGUCAGAGCCUCAUCUUGUCUGUUAGAUUCCACUUGUGCCAAAAUCCUUGGAAAUCCAUAAAGCCCUGUCAAGUGUUAUUGUUCCCUACAGAAGUAACAGAGCUUCUUUUGUGAAUGGUUGCCUGUAUAAAUUUAAACUUGUUAGUGCCAGGUUUCUACCAUUAAGACUUAGUUAUUAAGAUCCACAGGAAAAGUGAAGAUAAAAACUGAGGAAGCUUCUGACAGGAGUGCAUGCUGUAUUUUAAGUUACGAUCCAGAUCCCUCUCUGGUUUGAUACUUAACACAGCAGUUACUUUAUUCACAAGUGAUUAGUGAAGAUUGCCCUUUCUGGUCCAGACCUAUCAGUUGGAAAAAUGCAGUAGUUUUUCCAGUAAGCUCUACCUAAGCCCAGUGGGCUAUAAAGAAAAAUGAUACCAAUCAAAGGUGUGUGGCACAACACAGAGCAGAUCAAAAAAUUGCUCUACGUUUUCUUUGCAUUGGGUAACUUCAAAGUCAAACAUCUAUAAUGUAGCAAUGUUCUAGGAAGAGCUCAUACACCUGCUGUUGAACUGGGAAGAACUGUGUUUUCACAGAGCCGUAACGAACAGCUUAGAAAACAUAGUUAUAUGUCUUAAAUGUGUUUGAUUCUUUCUUUCCAUAUGAAUUUUUUUUUCCGCUCAGUUUGGAAAUAGGACAGAAAAUUUUCUGUCUGUCAGUCCAGAAUUCAAUUUCAAACCAUGUGUUAGCAGUAAGGCUGUAGUUUCUAAGUUUUCAGGAAUAUGCUCUCCCCUGCUUUUACUUUACAGGUGACAAAAAUGCUUAAAACCUCAGCCGUUAUUGUUCUGAAUCAUUAGAAUAUAUCAAAUAAUCCGUGAUGUAAUAAUUGCUAUAGCAACUAUUCACUUUCUUUCAGUUUUUGAACCAAACAAUUGACACAUCAUAUUUUUCAUGCUAGACAAGGCUGUUUUGGCAUAAUGUAUUAAUAUAUUCUAUGGAAACAGCAGUACUCAAACUGGUACAUAUGACAUAGACUACUUUAGGCUGAGAAUAAAUUUAAGACUAGGAUAUUUAAAAUGUAUUAGUUAGCUUCUCUUUAACUGUUAUUAAAUAUUAUACAUAAUUAAACUUAAUUAAUCUAAUUAGACUUCCAACUGACAAGGGUUUCCAGUUGGCUGAAGUUUUGUAGGGCCCUUUUUGUGCAUGCCAGUAAACAUUAACCUUUUCUUUGAGCAGCUGACCCUUAAAAAGAUGUCCCACUAAGAGAUUAUAUCAUAUACAGUAUAGUCUAACCAUAAUCCUGACUGCUGAAAGGUCAAGAAUUUCCAUCAUCUUUCAAUGUUAGUAAUACCUUAGGGAGAUUUUUUUCUCUGUGUUUCUUAAGCAAAACCAUGUUUGGUGAGCUUCCUCUUCUUUGUUUCUAUUUUCUGAAUCUUGAAUUAUUAGCUGCAUAUACAAUAAAGCUGAAGGAGGUCCAAGAAGAUAUUCUGCACUUCAGACAGGAUUUAACUUCUUCCAUAGAGAAUGGUAUUCUCAGAAAGAGCCAAAUGCUAUGCUGUUCAGUGGGAAUAUUGUUCAGUUAUGAAGAGCAGAAUUUGCCCAUGUAUAUAUACACAUCUAUAUGUAUAUAGUCUAUAUUCUAAAAGUCUGUGUGACAGUCCAUUCUAAGGAGCUGUUUAGAGAUUUAAAUCACCAGUUCUUUUGUUUACCAUCAGGCCACUCAAAAUUCUCCCACAAACAGAUUUUUAUUGAUUUUUAUGGUUAAACUCUCAAAUCUCUUUCUAGGUCAAAAAAUGUUUGUAUUUCUCAUUGGAAAAGGCUCGUCAUGGGAUGAGGAGCUCUACGCAGCCCUGUACUCGAGGCAAAACAUUAAUAGCUUGACUAGUUGCAUGAAAGAAUAGACUUUGUCCAAACAGAGGUUUCAGGAAUUUAUCUCAAACAUGACAACGUAUCCAGAAAAAGGCCAAACAUCACUGGAAGCAAGACAUUUCAAUUAAUAAUACCAUUGUAAGCUGGGGUAUGACUCACGUACACUUAUAUACCUGAGCUUCCUGAGAAAAAUAUAGAUGAUAAGAGAAGAUUAUGAUACAGAGCAUAAUCUCUUCUGCAAAAGCAUGAGACCCGAUAGCUGAAGAACUGCUAACCAUUGGACCUGUGGGACUAUGGACAUUGGAUCAUUGGACUAUAGGAAUAGUUAUUCCCUGCAGAGAAAGUAAGUAUGGAAACUCAGAACAAUUUCCACUUUUGUACACAUUUCAAGACAUUAUUUUAAUGGACUAUGUGGUUGUUUUUUUUUCCCCUAACUCAUCGUGCUCCAACUCCCCUUGCAUCUAAAGACCCACGCAGUACAGCUUUGUUACAUACUUACUUGGGUAUUUUCCCUGUGAGGACCUCCACAGAAAUUCUUGCUUUCCCCUGUGCCAGCUACUUCUUUCUGCCAGUGCCCUACUAGUACCUUGCUUGUACUGAUCCAACUACCUAUGACUUCAAGCUGUAAAAUAUAUGUACAACUGCAUCAUAAUUUUAUAAUGAAUGUGACUGACCUAAGGCUUUUCUGUCAGCAGAAACCCAAAAUGACCGAUGUGCUGCUAGAAUAUUUCAGGAAAAAUGGCCACAUGCUUCAGUAAGACACUGUGGUUUGCUAAGAUAGAGGGACAUGGGAAAGAGUUAAUAACGUGCUUAAAACUAUCUUUAAUGUACCAGCAUCUAACAACCAAAAUAAGAUCAGGACUUAUUUCACAGGAUGCUAUAGAAAGGCUUCCAACACAUUGCAAGUUAAACAAAUAAAUGAAAGAAUCAAAGGGAAAACAAAGCUGCGGCAAUGUGAAGUGAGUUGCUCAAGGUCACUCAACAGCUUAGUAGCGGGACUGAAAACUGAGCACUUGAGGCCCCCCUAGAAUGCUUUUUCUGCAAAGCCAUCCACAAUUCCUACUAUCACAUAAGCCUUUUAAAACAGGGUUUUGUGCUCAUCAUCCCUAAGGUGAUGAAGUGAUAAGUCUUCUUUUAAAAACAAGAAGUACUUGAUCCUUGCAGGGGGAGCAGCAAGGCUCUUGAGAGUGUGAUAUUUCAAUGUAAAUAAACUGUAGCUACGAGGACAUAAAAGACAGACUCCUCACAGUAAACAACAACAGGUCAGCACUUUGUGCAUUGGGAGUUGGGAUAAUAAUUUCUUGUGUACACAUGAAAAAACUAAUACAGAUGUGAUUCCUUUUAAUAUGAUCAGGCCUGGGUCUAGGCUAUAACAGGUCCUCUUUGUCUGCUCUUGCUUAGGCUCUCUACAAGGAGGAACUUUGUUACUGGGUCUAGGAUGCUCUAGAAUUUCUUGCUUUUCAAAUUCUUAUGGGUAAUUUCAGCCUUUCCUGGCUGUCUCAAAUCCCUUUUGGAAAAUGUGUAUUCAAAAGGAGUUGAAAUUCAGUAAGCCAAAAAAGAAACUCUACAGAAAUGACCAAACAGUGUGUUAUCAUAUUUUCCCUCGUCACUCUUGAUUCUGAUUUAGCAACAAUUGUAAAUGCUGACCUUUCUUGCCAGCUUCUCCACAACCACCCCAGCAGCGCUAACUCAGAGUCCGCUUCCUAUUAAGCUCACGUGCAACUCUCCAGAAAGCUUCAUAAACAUGAUUUCUCCUACUUCCAGUACAGAAUCCUCAUUAGUCUCACAGACCACACACAUCUUCUAGGCAGAAGGUAAGGCAACCUGUAAUGGACAUGGCUGCCCAAACUAAUAGGAAAAGGACAAUGUCUUUUUCUUUACAUUUCUGACAUGACACAUCACAAAGAAAUGCCAGAUCAGGGUCAAGUUACACUAAGCUGCACUGUGCUUUUUGGUCUUGUGAUGUGACGUAACCUCUUAUAAGGCAAUGAAAGAAUUGUAAUGUAAAGAAAGGCUUUUGAAAGAUCUACUAGAAGGAAAUAAUUGUUGAACAUGGGAAGAAACUAAGUGGCUGGUAAUACUCAAGCACUAAGUGCUGGCUCCAAGCAGUGCUCCAGGAUUAUGCCCUGCUGGGAACAGACCAACCUGCAAGUCCCAUGUCAGCAUCAGAGGCCACCCAAUGCCACUGGCGAGCACCAGGUGGCUGGAGGGGUCUCUGUUGCCCAGCUGCCUGGGGGAAGCUGCAGUACAGAGCCCAUGAAGCCUGUACUGUCCUACGUCCCCCUGACUGUAGGGAUUCAGUCUUGUUCCUCCUUUAGGUGACUCAAUACAGUCCUAUUCCAUGCUUUUUGUUUGCCAACAGAUUAUAUCUAGUCACGCAGCUGGGGUCAGCCACGGCAUUCAUCAGGCGUGGACAAACAGCAGAGAAGCAGCAGAACUGUGAUGCUACUGGCAUAACAUGAUAAUAAGGAAUGAAAUGGGGAACCUACUCUGUUCUGGAGAUUAUGAUACUUAUAGCAGCAUUUCUAGGACUUGAGGUGGGGAGGCAGAAGUUGAGAGAGAAAAGUGCUUGGAGAAACAUCAGAAAGUCAGCCUGGACAGAAGUCGUUGCAAAAUAUAAUUGCAAGAUCUUUCUGACUGCAUUUGUUAAUACAGAGCCGGUCAAGAGUAAGAUUUAUGAAACCCAUUCCUUCUACUACUCAACAUGUACUGAAGUACUCCUAGUCUGCUGGGAUAUCAAGAAGGAAGUAAAUUCCAGGACUCCCCAUGCACACUGGGACAGUGACAGAGAUUAUGGCUAGAAGGAUAUGGAAGAGAAAGUUUUCUUCUGUUUUCACCUGCCAUUAUCCUUACAGUGGCAAACCCAUAUUUGGAAGCCUGUCGGAGCAUUAAAGAGGCCAUUAGAAAUGUAUCAUGUGACAGCACACUACAACUCUACAGUACAAGAGAUUAACAGUAAGCACUUCUGUUCUCUAAAGUUGCCAUUUUAUAGAUCCUUUCACUUUUCCAUUAAAUCAAGUCAUGUCUUUCAGACUUCCUGAUAUGAAAUGCUGCUUUGCCAUCAUGUUCACAUGUUCCUAUUGUUUCUUUUGAAUAACUACAAGAUUUCAUUAAAAUUACUAUAAAAAUAAGAAUAUGAUUGAAAGCUAGCCAGCAGAAAGCUAUGUUAUUGCCCACAGUGGGUUUACUGUUCAAAACUUCUUCCCUAACUAGCAAAGAUGCUGAGUGACUUUUUUUGAAGUUAGCUGAAUAUAUCAGAAUAAAGCUUUGCUGCACAUUCACAGGAUGCAACUCACAGGAUUUUGGAUAUCAUUAGGUUUUAGACACUAGAAAAAUUACAUUUUUGCAUUAGUACUUGAAGAAUUUUUGUUGUUGCUACCGGUUUCUCAGAACCAAAUGAUGACAUGACAAUUUCAGGUUACAAGCUGUGACAGGAUGCGUUAUUCCACUGCACUUGAGGAAUAACUCACAAAUAGCUGACCAAAUGAAAUAUGGAAUAGGAAGACAGCAUUGCCUUUUUCAACUAAUAGGGUUCUUAUGAGUUCGGAUUUAUCCAUAGACCCAACCUUAGUAUCUUCUAUGCCCUGCCUUUGGGGUUUUUUCCAGACUAAUUCACUGCAACUGUCUGAAAAGGUCCUUUUCCUAUUAAGAAAAGUUUUCACUUUUCCUUGCGAUUGUUCAGAGGGACAGCUUCUGAAGAAAGCAUUGUAAUGCAUUUACUGAAAGGCCACAGGGCUGCCAUCUGUGGGUCCCCUUUAUAGAUUGGGCCUCAUUCUGCCCACUGCCUUGGACAGCGAGUAGUGCUUGCCCUGCAGCUGGUCCCUUCCAGCCAGCGGGGCUGCGAGUGGGAGAAGGUGAGCUUCCCUGGGGACGGUGCUGGGGGCUGCUGGACCAGUAGGCCGCACGCAGGACCCAGUGGGUGCCCCAACAAAGUGAGGGUGGGCAUGAUGGCCAGUGGGUGCUUCCCAGCUGUUUUCGGCCAUGUCUCUUCCCUGCCAGCCUCAGCUGUGUUAGGGGCUCUGCCAGCUGAUUGCUUGACCUGCCCCACUCCCCACUUUGAAGGCAGAGAGGAGGCUCACAGCUGCCUUCCCCUGAGCUGGUGCUGAGGGCCCACGGCUGGGCCGCCAUCUUGUCCCCGAGUGCCUGGCCUGCUUGUGGCAGGCAAAACACAGCACGCCAGCGCUCCACUACGCUCCGCAUCCCGACAGACCAGUUCAUUCCCGCCCACACAGCCA